UUUUAAAAGAGUUAUCUCGUCUUUGGAUUUGCUUGUGUAAGAUUAGGUAGUUGGUAGUGAAAGACUUACCAAGCCGUCGAUCUUUAGUUGGUUUGUAAGAACGGUCAACCACACUGGGACUGAGACAAGGCCCAGGCUUUUAAUAAGCCAGCAGUAGGGAAUAUUGGACAAUGAGCGAAAGCUUGAUCCAGCUAUGUUACGUGAGGGAUGACAGCUUAUUUGUUGUAAACCUCUUUUAUAAGGAAAGAUGAUGACUUGCCUUAUGAAUAAGUUCUGGCUAAUUUCGUGCCAGCAGCCGCGGUAACACGAAAAGAACAAGCGUUACUCGUUGUAAUUUGGUGUAAAGGGUUCGUAGGCGGUUUUAAGGUUGUUUAAGGUAAAAUUCAAGAGCUCCAACUUUUGAGCAAGGCCUUAAAAACACUAUUACUUGAGUUUAGCGUAAGAUUAUAGAAUUUCAAAUGUAGAGAUAAAAUUUUAAGAGAUUUGAAGGAAUGUCAAAAGCGAAGGCAAUAAUCUAUUCUAAUACUGACGCUGAGGGACGAAAGAACGGGUAGCAAACGGGAUUAGUGACCCCGGUAGUCCGUUCCGUAAACGCUGAGUGCUCGUACUUAGAUUUUAUAAUUUAGGUGCUACGCUAACGCUAUAAGCACUCCACCUGAGGAGUAUAGCCGCAAGGCUGGAACUCAAAGGAAUUGACGGGGGCCUAAACAAGUGGUGGAGCAUGUGGUUUAAUUCGAAGCAACGCGCAGAACCUUACCAACCCUUGACAUACUCGUCGUCGCUCUAGAGAUAGGGCUUUCAGCUAGGCUGGACGAGAUACAGGUGCUGCAUGGCUGUCGUCAGCUCGUGUCGUGAGAUGUUCGGUUAAGUCCGGCAACGAGCGCAACCCACAUCCCUAGUUGCCAGCAGUUCGGCUGGGCACUCUAUGGAAACUGCCCGUGAUAAGCGGGAGGAAGGUGUGGAUGACGUCAAGUCCUCAUGGCCCUUACGGGUUGGGCUACACACGUGCUACAAUGGCGGUGACAGUGGGUUGCUACCUCGCGAGAGGGAGCUAAUCCCCAAAAGCCGUCUCAGUUCGGAUUGUUCUCUGCAACUCGAGAGCAUGAAGUUGGAAUCGCUAGUAAUCGUGGAUCAGCGUGCCACGGUGAAUACGUUCUCGGGCCUUGUACACACCGCCCGUCACACCAUGGGAGUUGGUUUUACCUUAAGCCGGUGCGCUAACCUUCGGGAAGCAGCCGACCACGGUAAGGUCAGCGACUGGGGUGAAGUCGUAACAAGGUAACC
rnacentral:rRNA from 1 species